UAACCGAUGGCGCAAGGAACUUCAGGAGGAACGGAAAACAGUUCUAAGUAGAAUGAAUGUCAGAAUUAUCGGAGAGGAGCCAAGUAUAAUCCUCCUUGGCCACCGCGAUAAGCUUGACAAGGGGGAGUUUCGGAACUAUCAUUCUAAACCAGGUCAUGAUAGCAGUCUAUUACCGCGCAGCUGAGACAGUUCUGGCAUACUCUAGUUGUUUGCUACUAUAAAGCCGCCAUCCGCUAUGAAUACAGCAGUCGACUGCCACGCAGAUGCGGAUAAUACAUCAUGGAUAUUUGCGCCAUAAUUUUUCCGGGAGUUUGCAACAAACAUACAUCUCGCCCGCCGCGUCAGGCGAUUUAAAAUAUUAAAGGAUCACGGAUAUUGCAAGGAAAGGAUCCCUUUCGAUGCCCUUCUGGAUCAGCGCGGUAGAUAGAGGAGGUUCUCCCAAUGGGCCUUCAGAAGAAUUCCUGAAAAGGGGGCUUGCUGUCGAUACUGUGCAUCGCGGCCCUUCUUUCUAUUCCCUAUUCUGCCUCACAGUCAGCGAGGGAUAGCGAGGAGCGUAUUGAAAACGCUGAUAACCCGGCGAUCUUGUGAUGUAGAGAUAGACAGCCAUCACUAUUUCAUUAUUCUAUAAUAUUGUAUUGCCGAGCCCAAUUAAUACGUUCCAACUUUAUACGUUGGAACUUUAUAUAGAAAACAAUUAUAACCACAGUUUAUAACAAAAAAAAAUAUUAAAGAUUUAUAUAAAAA